CAAUAGUCUUUUUUUGACACCCAUAAAAGGGUGUCAACAAGUAAUUUUACUUCUGCCUUCCUUAUCACUGGCACUUGCUGCACCCUUCCAGCAGUCAUGGUGGAGGUGCUGUAUUUGGUACAGCACCUCAGUAAUAGUUGUUUAUUCUCUGUGAGAAGAGAGUGCCCAUAUACGUAGAAAUUAACCUUUUAGGGUCCCCAAAUAAUACUUCCUCACUGAUUUGUGCAUAAUUCUUCUCCACUAGCAUAAGCGGUCGUGAAGGAACUGCUACAGUCCAUGUCGUCCCAGCUUCUAAUCCUCUCAGGCAAAGGACAGUGCCUUGUGUACUGAACAAUAUUUAUCUUCUGUCUCGCCAGUGACUAAUGCCUCUUCUGUUUGAUUUUCUUUUUCUCCCCCAUAUUUUUUUUUACCUUGUGUUCUUGCCAGCAAACACAAAAGCUUCUACUCUAUAUGCACUUGCUUGUUCUAUGUGAAUUCUAUGGGUAUAUAUUGUGCAAUAGAAUCUAUUGUUUACCUAAAUAUUUUACUACAGUAAGUGCAAAUUAUUUAGGCAGUCAACACAACAAAAUAUGAUAUUUUGGCCCAAUAGCCUUAAUCCUGAAAUGUCAUAUUUUGUUGUGUUCACUGCCUAAAUAAAUUGCACUUUGCUUCUUACCAUGAAUCCAUGGAUUUUUCUUUAUAUUCUACUUAUUGAGAGGUUGCAGGCAUCUACUACAUUGUACCAGCAGGUACAUUGGUCCUAUCACUUUUUCUCAAGAGUGACACACCAUUUCAACUACAGAAAUGACAUUAGACAAAUGUGUUGGGGGUGUAACUAGACCCCGACACAAAGAUAACUUAGUAUGUGCUACGUUUCGAGAAGAAACUCUGCACAAACAGAUUCCUACCACCGUGACCACUUCUAAAUGCAGAAUUCGUCAUGGUAGUACAACUAAGUUUUUAAUCAAGCCCAUGCUACUAACUUCCCAGUGCCCUGACCUCACAUCCCUUAGAGCGCUGGCGUCUGCGUUUGGGUUCCAGCAGCAUAGUCUGACCACACAUACAAACUGAGCCUGCUAAAUGAUCCACAGAGUGUGGCUGCUAGUUGUAGUAUAGAGUAUAGUUGAGGGAUGAAGUAUUGUGUCAGGCUCAUGAGUGAAACCCAGUGGGGAUAAUUCAUGCUAUAGGGAAUUAUGGAGGAACUAUAUAAUGAUACUCUUUCUUCUCUUGCAGGUGGCUAAUGUUGCAACAUAUGCUGCGGUUGGAGGUGUUGCUUUAGCCUCAGUAAUAACCAUGUUUGCCUUUCUGAGAAAUAAACGACAGAACCAAUAAAGCCAAAACCAGCAUCCCUUAAUCUCUGCUACCCAGAGUUUACAGAACACUGGAACAGACAGAACAAUAUUGGACUAUUUUAAAU